CAGUCGCCGCGGUAAUACGUAGGUCCCGAGCGUUGUCCGGAUUUAUUGGGCGUAAAGCGAGCGCAGGCGGUUAGAUAAGUCUGAAGUUAAAGGCUGUGGCUUAACCAUAGUAUGCUUUGGAAACUGUUUAACUUGAGUGCAAGAGGGGAGAGUGGAAUUCCAUGUGUAGCGGUGAAAUGCGUAGAUAUAUGGAGGAACACCGGUGGCGAAAGCGGCUCUCUGGCUUGUAACUGACGCUGAGGCUCGAAAGCGUGGGGAGCAAACAGGAUUAGAUACCCGCGUAGUCCCUGUCUCUUAUACC
rnacentral:rRNA from 1 species